CAUUAGUGAAUAUAGGACGUCCAACUUAACUUGGAGUCCGAACUCUCACUUUCUAACCCUGUGCACUUGUUUGGGAUAGUAACUCUCGCAAGAGAGCGAACUCCUAUUCACUUAUAAACACAAAGUCUAUGAAUGUAUUAAAUUUUAUAACAAAAUAAAACUUUCAACAACGGAUCUCUUGGCUCUCGCAUCGAUGAAGAACGCAGCGAAAUGCGAUAAGUAAUGUGAAUUGCAGAAUUCAGUGAAUCAUCGAAUCUUUGAACGCACCUUGCGCUCCAUGGUAUUCCGUGGAGCAUGCCUGUUUGAGUGUCAUGAAUACUUCAACCCUCCUCUUUCUUAAUGAUUGAAGAGGUGUUUGGUUUCUGAGCGCUGCUGGCCUUUACGGUCUAGCUCGUUCGUAAUGCAUUAGCAUCCGCAAUCGAACUUCGGAUUGACUUGGCGUAAUAGACUAUUCGCUGAGGAAUUCUAGUCUUCGGAUUAGAGCCGGGUUGGGUUAAAGGAAGCUUCUAAUCAGAAUGUCUACAUUUUAAGAUUAGAUCUCAAAUCAGGUAGGACUACCCGCUGAACUUAAGCAUAUCAAUAAGCGGAGGAAAAGAAACUAACAAGGAUUCCCCUAGUAGCGGCGAGCGAAGCGGGAAGAGCUCAAAUUUAUAAUCUGGCACCUUCGGUGUCCGAGUUGUAAUCUCUAGAAAUGUUUUCCGCGUUGGACCGCACACAAGUCUGUUGGAAUACAGCGGCAUAGUGGUGAGACCCCCGUAUAUGGUGCGGACGCCCAGCGCUUUGUGAUACAUUUUCGAAGAGUCGAGUUGUUUGGGAAUGCAGCUCAAAUUGGGUGGUAAAUUCCAUCUAAAGCUAAAUAUUGGCGAGAGACCGAUAGCGAACAAGUACCGUGAGGGAAAGAUGAAAAGCACUUUGGAAAGAGAGUUAACAGUACGUGAAAUUGUUGGAAGGGAAACGCUUGAAGUCAGACUUGCUUGCCGAGCAAUCGGUUUGCAGGCCAGCAUCAGUUUUCCGGGAUGGAUAAUGGUAGAGAGAAGGUAGCAGUUUCGGCUGUGUUAUAGCUCUCUGCUGGAUACAUCUUGGGGGACUGAGGAACGCAGUGUGCCUUUGGCGGGGGUUUCGACCUCUUCACACUUAGGA
rnacentral:rRNA from 1 species